rnacentral:rRNA from 1 species
UACGGGGGGGGCAAGCGUUGUUCGGAAUUACUGGGCGUAAAGGGCUCGUAGGCGGCCAACUAAGUCAGACGUGAAAUCCCUCGGCUCAACCGAGGAACUGCAUCCGAUACUGGCGGGCUUGAAUCCGGGAGAGGGAUGUGGAAUUCCAGGUGUAGCGGUGAAAUGCGUAGAUAUCUGGAGGAACACCGGUGGCGAAGGCGGCAUCCUGGACCGGUAUUGACGCUGAGGCGCGAAAGCUAGGGGAGCAAACGGG